AUACGUAGGGGGCGAGCGUUGUCCGGAAUGAUUGGGCGUAAAGGGCGCGUAGGCGGCCCGGUAAGUCUGGAGUGAAAGUCCUGUUUUUAAGAUGGGAAUUGCUUUGGAUACUGUCGGGCUUGAGUGCAGGAGAGGUAAGUGGAAUUCCCAGUGUAGCGGUGAAAUGCGUAGAGAUUGGGAGGAACACCAGUGGCGAAGGCGACUUACUGGACUGUAACUGACGCUGAGGCGCGAAAGUGUGGGGAGCAAACAGGAUUAGAUACCCUGGUAGUCCACACUGUAAACGAUGAAUGCUAGGUGUAGGGGGUAUCGACCCCUUCUGUGCCGCAGUCAACACAAUAAGCAUUCCGCCUGGGGAGUACGGCCACAAGGUUGAAACUCAAAUGAAUUGACGGGG
rnacentral:rRNA from 1 species